CCUACGGGAGGCAGCAGUGGGGAAUAUUGGACAAUGGGCGCAAGCCUGAUCCAGCAAUGCCGCGUGAGUGAUGAAGGCCUUAGGGUCGUAAAGCUCUUUUACCAGGGAUGAUAAUGACAGUACCUGGAGAAUAAGCUCCGGCUAACUCCGUGCCAGCAGCCGCGGUAAUACGGAGGGAGCUAGCGUUGUUCGGAAUUACUGGGCGUAAAGCGUACGUAGGCGGUUAUUCAAGUCAGAGGUGAAAGCCCGGGGCUCAACCCCGGAACGGCCUUUGAAACUAGGUAGCUAGAAUCUUGGAGAGGUCAGUGGAAUUCCGAGUGUAGAGGUGAAAUUCGUAGAUAUUCGGAAGAACACCAGUGGCGAAGGCGACUGACUGGACAAGUAUUGACGCUGAGGUACGAAAGCGUGGGGAGCAAACAGGAUUAGAUACCCUGGUAGUCCACGCCGUAAACGAUGAUAACUAGCUGUUCGGGCACUUGGUGCUUGAGUGGCGCAGCUAACGCAUUAAGUUAUCCGCCUGGGAGUACGGUCGCAAGAUUAAAACUCAAAGGAAUUGACGG
rnacentral:rRNA from 1 species